rnacentral:tRNA from 1 species
GCAUCCGUAGCUUAACCGGUAAAAUGCUGCAGCGGAACGCCUGGAAGGCCUGGCGACUGGGGAAUGAUUUCACCAGGGCAUCGUCAUUCCACCCGACCCGGAUCCCGGAACGGCGGACUUAACGUGGCUUAAGAGCACCAGCUUUGGGAGUUGGUAGGUGCGGGUUCGAGUCCCGUCGGAUGCGCCA